CAGCAGUAGCCACGGUAAUACGGAGGGGGCUAGCGUUGUUCGGAAUUACUGGGCGUAAAGCGCGCGUAGGCGGUUACUCAAGUCAGAGGUGAAAGCCCGGGGCUCAACCCCGGAACUGCCUUUGAAACUAGGUGACUAGAAUCUUGGAGAGGUCAGUGGAAUUCCGAGUGUAGAGGUGAAAUUCGUAGAUAUUCGGAAGAACACCAGUGGCGAAGGCGACUGACUGGACAAGUAUUGACGCUGAGGUGCGAAAGCGUGGGGAGCAAACAGGAUUAGAUACCCCGGUAGUCCCUGUCUCUUAUAC
rnacentral:rRNA from 1 species